AAACUAAUUAGUGUAUUAAUUAGUUUAAUUUACUGGCAUUUAUUUUGUUUCUUUGCUCUUAAUCUGAGAGCUCCACUCUCUAUAUUAGCAGCAAUAGAACAUGCACCCUUCUGCUCUAUCCACCUAGCAACGGUAACUAGGUGGUGAGGCUUCUUACACGGAAUUCUAUGACAUCAUCAGUCCGGUGCAUAAUAGAACUAACCGAACUUACUGGUCAUCAUUCACUAAGAAGCAGCUGACAGAGCAGCAGCAGUUUUCUUUACUGUACUUCUCAGAUCUUCCGAUGGAUCGCAAAACCAUGCAUACCUGUUCUGUAGAGGAGAGCUGCACAGCAUCUGUUGUUAAGGACCCUAAGGCCCUAUACAACAUCAAGAGUUCUUUUUUCAGCAAAAUCCAUGAUGAAGUUAGGACAUUCAUGUUGAAGGAACUGCAACAGAGCAUAGAGGAUGUUGUGUCUUUAAAGACCACCAAAACCAUUACCACCGAUAUACUGGAAAAUGUGAUGACUCAGGUCACUUACAUUCUUUCUCACCUGUGUGACUCCACAUCAUCCUGGAGCAGUACUCCACCCAGAAGUGCCAGCCAGGAAUUGGCUACGGAACUAGUUAUUUCCACAGCAAACAAAAUGCGGGAGUACUGGCAUCUAUGCACAGUGUCUGAGUGGAUUGGUGCCUCCCUGGUGUCCCCUGUAGAAAUCUUCAGUGCGGUAGACACCUGUUUGUCCCUUAUUGUAUUGGAGGCUCUGAGCUCCUACUUUGAGACCUUGUUGAGCAUCUGCAGUGAGGGGACGUCAGCUGAUGCAUGCAGAAUUGAUUUAGAUACAUCGCAGUGUGACUUCAUUCAGGCUGUGGCUGAUAAAAUUAGGGGAUCCUCAAGUCACUCCACUAGUGAAACAGGAACCCCAGAAACUAAAGAAG
rnacentral:lncRNA from 1 species